GAGUUUGAUCAUGGCUCAGAUUGAACGCUGGCGGCAGGCCUAACACAUGCAAGUCGAACGGUAACAGGAAGAAGCUUGCUUCUUUGCUGACGAGUGGCGGACGGGUGAGUAAUGUCUGGGAAACUGCCUGAUGGAGGGGGAUAACUACUGGAAACGGUAGCUAAUACCGCAUAACGUCGCAAGACCAAAGAGGGGGACCUUCGGGCCUCUUGCCAUCGGAUGUGCCCAGAUGGGAUUAGCUAGUAGGUGGGGUAACGGCUCACCUAGGCGACGAUCCCUAGCUGGUCAGAGAGAUGACCAGCCACACUGGAACUGAGACACGGUCCAGACUCCUACGGGAGGCAGCAGUGGGGAAUAUUGCACAAUGGGCGCAAGCCUGAUGCAGCCAUGCCGCGUGUAUGAAGAAGGCCUUCGGGUUGUAAAGUACUUUCAGCGGGGAGGAAGGGAGUAAAGUUAAUACCUUUGCUCAUUGACGUUACCCGCAGAAGAAGCACCGGCUAACUCCGUGCCAGCAGCCGCGGUAAUACGGAGGGUGCAAGCGAUAAUCGGAAUUACUGGGCGUAAAGCGCACGCAGGCGGUUUGUUAAGUCAGAUGUGAAAUCCCCGGGCUCAACCUGGGAACUGCAUCUGAUACUGGCAAGCUUGAGUCUCGUAGAGGGGGGUAGAAUUCCAGGUGUAGCGGUGAAAUGCGUAGAGAUCUGGAGGAAUACCGGUGGCGAAGGCGGCCCCCUGGACGAAGACUGACGCUCAGGUGCGAAAGCGUGGGGAGCAAACAGGAUUAGAUACCCUGGUAGUCCACGCCGUAAACGAUGUCGACUUGGAGGUUGUGCCCUUGAGGCGUGGCUUCCGGAGCUAACGCGUUAAGUCGACCGCCUGGGGAGUACGGCCGCAAGGUUAAAACUCAAAUGAAUUGACGGGGGCCCGCACAAGCGGUGGAGCAUGUGGUUUAAUUCGAUGCAACGCGAAGAACCUUACCUGGUCUUGACAUCCACAGAACUUUCCAGAGAUGGAUUGGUGCCUUCGGGAACUGUGAGACAGGUGCUGCAUGGCUGUCGUCAGCUCGUGUUGUGAAAUGUUGGGUUAAGUCCCGCAACGAGCGCAACCCUUAUCUUUUGUUGCCAGCGGUCCGGCCGGGAACUCAAAGGAGACUGCCAGUGAUAAACUGGAGGAAGGUGGGGAUGACGUCAAGUCAUCAUGGCCCUUACGACCAGGGCUACACACGUGCUACAAUGGCGCAUACAAAGAGAAGCGACCUCGCGAGAGCAAGCGGACCUCAUAAAGUGCGUCGUAGUCCGGAUUGGAGUCUGCAACUCGACUCCAUGAAGUCGGAAUCGCUAGUAAUCGUGGAUCAGAAUGCCACGGUGAAUACGUUCCCGGGCCUUGUACACACCGCCCGUCACACCAUGGGAGUGGGUUGCAAAAGAAGUAGGUAGCUUAACCUUCGGGAGGGCGCUUACCACUUUGUGAUUCAUGACUGGGGUGAAGUCGAAACAAGGUAACCGUAGGGGACCUGCGGUUG
rnacentral:rRNA from 1 species